rnacentral:lncRNA from 1 species
AAAUGGGAGGUGGGAUUUGAGAAAUGGGGUUUAGAGGAUUCGGAGCAUUACAGCAAGCAGGUGAGCGACCAAACGGCCCCAAAAUGGCACCAAAAUGGCCCAAAAUGGCACGGAAAUGGCCCAAAAUGGCACCAAAAUGGCACCAAACGGCCCCAAAAUGGCCCCAGAUGGCUCCAAAAUGGCCCAAAAUGGCCCCAGAAUGGGAGGUGGGAUUUGAGAAAUGGGGUUUAGAGGAUUCUGAGCACUACAACAAGCAGGUGAGCGACCAAACGGCCCCAAAACGGCCCCAAAUGGCACCAAAAUGGCCCCAAAAUGGCCCAAAAUGGCACCAAAAUGGCCCAAAAUGGCACCAAACGGCACCAAAUGGCACCAAACGGCACCAAAAUGGCUCCAAAAUGGCCCCAGAUGGCACCAAAAUGGGAGGUGGGAUUUGAGAAAUGGGGUUUAGAGGAUUCGGAGCAUUACAGCAAGCAGGUGAGCGACCACAACGGCCCCAAAACGACCCCAAAACGGCCCAAAAUGGCACCAAAAUGGCCCAAAAUGGCACCAAAAUGGCCCCAAAAUGGCACCAAAUGGCACCAAAAUGGUCCAAAAUGGCACCAAAAUGGCCCCAGAAUGGGAGCUGGGAUUUGAGAAAUGGGGUUUUGAGGAUUCUGAGCACUACAACAAGCAGGUGAGCGACCACAACGGCCCCAAAAUGACCCCAAAUGGCACCAAAAUGGCCCAAAAUGGCACCAAAAUGGCACCAGACGGCACCAAAAUGGCCCAAAAUGGCACCAAAUGGCCCCGAAAUGGCUCCAAAAUGGCCCAAAAUGGCCCCAGAAUGGGAGGUGGGAUUUCAGAAAUGGGGUUUUGAGGAUUCUGAGCACUACAACAAGCAGGUGAGUGACCACAACGGCCCCAAAACGGCCCCAAAAUGGCCCCAAAUGGCACCAAAAUUGGACCAAAAUUGGACCAAAAUUGCACCAAAUGGCUCCAAAACGGCCCAAAAUGGCACCAAAGUUGGACCAAAAUGGGAAGUGGGUUUUCAGGAAUGGGGUUUAGAGGAUUCUGAGCACUGCAACAAGCAGGUGAGCGACCAGAAUGGCCCCCAAAUGGCCCCAAAACGGCCCCCAAAUGGCACCAAAAUGGCCCAAAACAGCCCCAAGCGGCCCCAAAAUUGGACCAAAAUGGGAGGUGGGAUUUCAGAAAUGGGGUUUUGAGGAAUCUGAGCACUGCAACAAGCAGGUGAGUGACCAGAACUGCACCAAAAUGACCCCAAAUGGCCCCAAAAUGGCCUCAAGGAUCCCAAAAUGGUCCAUAUAACCCCAUUUCCCCUCAUAACCCCCACGUCCGCCCCAUAACCUCCCCAUAACCCCAUUUCCCCCAUAACCCCGUUUCCCCCAUUACCCCCCCAUUACCCUAUAACCCCCUUAUUUCCCC